AGAGUUUGAUCCUGGCUCAGAAUCAACGCUGGCGGCGUGCCUAAUACAUGCAAGUCGAACGAGAAUGUGUAGCAAUACACAUGUAAAGUGGCGAACGGGUGAGGAUUACAUGGGUAACCUACCCUCGAGUGGGGAAUAACCAGCCGAAAGGUUGGCUAAUACCGCGUACGCUUCCGGGACUGCGGUUUCGGAAGGAAAGCGAUACCGUGGGUAUCGCGCUCUUGGAUGGGCUCAUGCCCUAUCAGCUUGUUGGUGAGGUAACGGCUCACCAAGGCUUCGACGGGUAGCUGA
rnacentral:rRNA from 1 species